AGGGCGGUAUCUUAGGAACUGCACCGAUUCAUUCGCAUGAUAAUUGAAUAUGAGUCCGAUAAGAUCUGCCUUGAUCUUUUUACAGACAGGGACGGAGGA
rfam:Sporosarcina sp. HYO08 scaffold_3, whole genome shotgun sequence.